GCCCGUGUGGUGUUAUCGUUAACACGUCGCCAUAUAGUGCCAUAAUGACGAAGUGCUCUUGGCGCCGACCUCGGUUCGACCCCGAGCGCGGGCA